rnacentral:sRNA from 1 species
GGGUGGGGGGGAUGCAGUACUGCGGCCUUUCUUAGUCGACUCACACAUCUGUAUCUCCAUACAGCGUUCUAGCUGUAAGGAUGCUGUUUCCCCAUUUCUGCCCCACCAGCUGCUGCCGGAGCGGCAAGGCAAGCCCCGCUGACCUCCCGUCUCCACUACACCUGCCCUUUCCUGUGCGCGCCAGUCCACCAGCGCUUUCAGACUUUAGAUCACACAGCUAGGUCUCUCUUCUGGGUAGGAGCUUCCUGAAGGCAGGGCUAGUCUUGAUUCAUUCUUGAAUCCAGCAGAUUUGGCACACGAUAAAUAUAAAUUUACCUGAAUUUUAACUUAUACAUUUUAAAUGUAUUCAAAAAUUUAUUGAAAAAGAUUGAGGAAACAAAUGAUCGGAUAAGGAAAUGUAAAGUCCCCUCAUUCCCUGUAAGUCCAAGAAGGACCCUACACACAAAGUGCUCAGCUGUUAAACCUCAUGUGCAGAGAGAACCAGAGAGUGUGUCUUAAAGCUAAAGAGAGGUUGUGGUUGGGCACAAGAUUACUAGUUGCUUGAAGACAGAGUUCAUGAAAAACACGGCACGCACAGCUGACAAAUGAAGUCUGGGAGAAACACAGCUCUGCAGAGUCUGGUGUGACACUGCCCUGCACACUCAGGUGUGACACUGCUCUGCACACUCAGGUGUGACACUGGCCAGUACCCUCAGGUGUGACACUGCUCUGCACACUCAGGUGUGACACUGGCCAGUACCCUCAGGUGUGACACUGCUCUGCACACUCAGGUGUGACACUGGCCAGUACCCUCAGGUGUGACACUGCUCUGCACACUUAGGUGUGACACUGCUCUGCACUCAGGUGUGACACUGGCCAGCACACUCAGGUGUGACACUGCUCUGCACACUUAGGUGUGACACUGCUCUGCACUCAGGUGUGACACUGGCCAGCACACUCAGGUGUGACACUGCUCUGCACACUCAGGUGUGACACUGGCCAGCACACUCAGGUGUGACACUGGCCAGCACACUCAGGUGUGACACUGCUCUGCACACUCAGGUGUGACACUGGCCAGCACACUCAGGUGUGACACUGCUCUGCACACUCAGGUGUGACACUGCUCUGCACACUCAGGUGUGACACUGGCCAGCACACUCAGGUGUGACACUGCUCUGCACACUCAGGUGUGACACUGGCCAGCACACUCAGGUGUGACACUGGCCAGCACCCUCAGGUGUGACACUGCUCUGCACUCAGGUGUGACACUGCUCUGCACACUCAGGUGUGACACUGCUCUGCACUCAGGUGUGACACUGGCCAGCACACUCAGGUGUGACACUGCUCUGCACACUCAGGUGUGACACUGGCCAGCACACUCAGGUGUGACACUGGCCAGCACACUCAGGUGUGACACUGCUCUGCACACUCAGGUGUGACACUGCUCUGCACACUCAGGUGUGACACUGCUCUGCACAGUCACAUGUAGAUGGUUCUCAGGCCUACAGAGUCUUCAGCAUUUGAGAACAGAAUUCCCAGGUCUGGGAAGUGGGAGGGAUUCUGCUCACUCCAUCUCUUCUUAGUAAUUUAAAAAGCAACAAAGAAAAAGAAAAAGAACAAAACUUAUCUCAAUCCAGAAGGGACAGGUAAGACGCCAGUGGGCGGGGCGGGGUUAGCGUCUAGAAUUUUAUAAUUUUAUGUAAGUAGGAAAGGCCUCUCCUACACAUUUCAGAAAUGAUCUUCUGAGGCCCUACUAAGAGUCUGGAAGAAUGUACUCUAGCCAAAAGCCUUUCUUAUGGUAAAGUUAGCACAAAUGAGGUUAAAUUAACACGUGUCUUUCUUGUAACCACUUAAAACUGUCAUAUCACAAGUUUACUAUAAACUUACUGGCCAAAAAAGAAAGAAAAGCACGCAUAUAUUCAUUCAAAAUAGUUUUGUUUUGUUUUUAAUCCUUUAAAAUUAUACCAUCAAACCUGAUGGGAGUUAUUUUAAUAGGUAUUCUUGUGCAUAUUUCUCCUUAAAUGUACUUUGUCUUCAAUGCAUAAAAUUUUAAAUUAAGAGGAAAAACAGCAAGCAGGAAUGAUACAGUGCCAAAAGCAUCUCAUUUUGUUCCAGACAAGCAACUUGUUUUGGUUUUUUAAAGGCAAAUACAUUAAACAAAGUGCAUUUCUUCCAAAGAGAGAGUACUGGAGAGAGGGCUAAGGACGGUGCUGGAAGCAGCCUGGAGUCCCAUCCUGGCGAGCCCCUGAUUGUCUUUAGGGAGGGAAGUGGGAGGGAAACACGAGCACUUAAAACUCUUACAAAAGGGGACAGGAGACUGCCUGCUUUACCCCAGCCUGGGCUUUGUAAAUGUCUGUGUCCUCUGCUGAUCAUCUGCGUUGUGACCUGCCCUUAAAGUCUAUAACCUUGUUGUGACAUUAUGUGACCCCCUCAAUUCUGCCAAGCUAGACAGAAUAAGCCCUACAGGAGCCCUACGGCCUGAGUUUCCACACACGGAGAGAAGUUCCUCUCUCACACCUCAGCAAUGGUGACACUGUUUCUCUGUCAGAAGUUCCCUCCCUCCCUUGCUUGCUUCCUUGUUUCCCAUGGCUCCAUUCCACACUUUACUGCUGGUAAUGACAACUGUCUGGUGAAUCCGUUGCUUGUCUCUUUCAUAACACUUCGCCAUGGUAGGCCAUUGUACCCACCACACCAGCCUCAUCAGAAAAAGUAAGAGAGUUUUAGAGCUACUUUAAUCCCCCAACCUCCCCUACAAACCUUCACCCUGGUGUUGCUGGUUCUUGUGAUUCUGACCUUUGUGGCUGAAGACAGUACAAGUGAGUGCACCUGGAACCAGAUCCAUCUGGACUGCGCUUUGAGCUUAGAAUCCUUAGAAUGAAACUCCAGGUCAACAGGUAGCUUAUUAGAAUAAAUUCAAACUCCCCAAGUACAUACAUUCUCACACAAAGCAGUCAUCAAUGUUCACGAGUAAAACAUUUAAAAUGAAGCCAAUGGCAGGAAAGUGACCAUCAUUUCUUGGUUGUACAGGAGGCUCUGUUCUUACAGAGUUUCUGAGCCAGCAUCACGGUCACAAGACACAGAACUUACCAAGGUCCUAGGACCAGAGACAUCCAAGUUUACAAAGUGAUCAUCUUGUCUGCCCAAGUUCUCUACUUCACUUCUUCACAAGAACGCGUAGGAACGUGUGUGACUUUGUACACAGAGAAUAUUCCCAGUGUGUAAGGCAAGUUCAAACUCAGUGUUACUUUCACAGUCUAAGGACUCUCCCAGCACUGGUGGCAGUCACUCAGACUGGACAAGAUCUCUUCAAUGUAAGCUUUGGUGAGAGGUGCCAGCUAAGAAUAAGUCCCAGUAACAGUUUUCAUGAUUCUACAAUAGUUUUUACAGUGCUACCACCUAUGGUUUAGACUGCCUCAUUUUCUGUGUCUCUUGGAAACAGUGUUGGCUUGCGAGGGGUGGGAUGUUUUGAGUCCUAUCUGCCUUCUUCAGGCUUCACAUUAGUAACUACAGUGGUUCCAAAGAGCAUGUAAAAGGUAUUCAAGUCUUCAGGAAGCUUUGGUCGAAUGCCCUUUCCCUCACAGUGAAAAUACUUUUAUCUCUCGAAGAGACAUACAAAGGUCAAACUCUGAACUGGUUUUCUAUGCCUGCCUCUAUUAAAAUUCAAUAAAUAUUUACCAAGAUCUUCACUUCUAGAGCUUGGCUAGUACCCUUCCUACGCCUGUAUUAUAAAAACAGGGAGCUGUGUACAUUGCUAAAGAAAGGCUAAAGAUGUAAUUAAAGGGCUCCAUUAAUGUAUCUCCUAUAUUUAAAAAGGACAAAGACAUUUCACAAAGGGAAACAGCAUAUAUAGUCAAAAUAUCAGAACUAAUCUGCACAUACAGUUGAAGGUUUCCCUAGAAGACCAAUAUAGCUGUAAAGUCUAGUUUGGGUCUGUUAAGUCUUGAGGUCUAGGAGGACAAUAUAGUCUGUUCAUGUAUUUCUAAGUUUGUCAACCAGGUUUAAGGUGGAUCAUAAAAAACUUGACUGCAGGCAAGCUAUGAGAACAACUGCAGGUGAACUCUAGACAAAGAGUCUCCUUACAGCAAACAUCUAUGAAUUUUGAGGCUGGCUGUCUCAGAGACAGUUUCCCAUACAAAUGUGUAACAUGUAAACUAUUUACCCCAACAAUGCAAGCUAUCAUCAAACUUAAAACACCCCAGCAUCAUAACCAUUACUGCUACCUAGCCUAACCUUUGUAUCUUUAUAGAUACAUGAAAUGAAAACAAUCUUUAAAAAAGGCAGGAUCGCACAUAACCUGGGCUAGCCUAGAAUUCACUAUGUAGCCAAGGUUGAUCUUAGACUUCUGAUUCCCCAUUUCCUCUUCCCAAAUAUUGGGAUUAAAGGUGAAUAUCACCGUACCCAGUUUGAGAUUAGAAUUUUAUACUUAAAGGUCCUCUGCAAAAUCCCCAUUUAAUUGUCCUCUUCUGUGUGAAGAAAGUUGGGAUAGAUGAUUCUUUGCUAGGACUGUCAAGUGUAUGGUAUCCCAACACAAGUGCAAGACAUAUUCAGGGAAGCCCUCCUCUUGUCUAACUUACACAGAGAUUGAGUAAUUAUGGUAGCCUAAGACAAGACUGUUGUGUUUCCCCCCAGCCCCCAGCCCCACUCAGGCCUUGGGUCGUGUGCUUCACCUUCCAGACAGAAUACCUGUUAUCUCUGGUAGCUCUACGUUCUGUGAUCUGAGUCAAGGAGAGAGGUAAAUUAGAGUCAAUGCUGUCCCCUUUCAUUUCACUAAGGUAACAGUGUGAGACCCUGUAGGCAUGGGUUCUAUGUCCUCUCAUGACUCCCCUUUGUAUCAGUGACUCAACUCCUGCAGUCUCCGGAGAUUCUAAGAAGAGCCACGCAUGUCAGUCUGCCAAUCUGCUCCCUAGUACCAUGUCUGCCUCUCUCCAUGGCAUCAGAGAAUUAUGUUUUUAGAAGAUGGAUCUCUAAGAAAGCUCAAAUAACUGAACCAUUACUUAAAUGAAGCUUCUUCCCAGAGACACCUGCUGGUGGCCUAUGUGAAGAGCUGCUGCUUUAAGACUCGGUUAGACGGUUAUCCAAGGAAGAGGGGGAUCCACACUACAGACGUUCCCAGGGUCCAUAAAAACAGGUGGAGUUGAGGUGAGAAAAGAAAAAAAAUCACAAUUUAAGUUUGUAAUGAUAUGACCUUAUAUUUGUAUGCUUGUUCAGAAUUUACUCCGUUUGCAGUUUUAAAACAUUUUCAAUUCUUGAGGAAAAAUGUUUAGGGUAUAAAUCUGUAGGGAUUAGGGUAAUCAAAAA